GACUAUGAUGAUUGCUUCAAAUAUUCUGACACCUCUUGUAUGAGAUGGGUCUUUGUUAAAGAUUCAUUUUUGAGCACAUAAAGCAACUCUCUGAGUC
rfam:Lupinus angustifolius cultivar Tanjil contig_28087, whole genome shotgun sequence.